UNUCNUGAGANGUUGGGNNAAGUCCCGCAACGAGCGCAACCCUUGUCAUUAGUUGNUACAUUUAGUUNGGCACUNUAAUGAGACUGCCGGUGACAAACCGGAGGAAGGUGGGGAUGACGUCAAGUCCUCAUGGCCCUUAUGGGUAGGGCUACACACGUCAUACAAUGGCUGGUACAAAGGGUUGCCAACCCGCGAGGGGGAGCUAAUCCCAUAAAGCCAGUCGUAGUCCGGAUCGUAGUCUGCAACUCGACUGCGUGAAGUCGGAAUCGCUAGUAAUCGUGGAUCAGAAUGUCACGGUGAAUACGUUCCCGGGUCUUGUACACACCGCCCGUCACACCAUGGGAGCGGGUCUCGCCAGAAGUAGUUAGCCUAACCGCAAGGG
rnacentral:rRNA from 1 species